CUCCGGUGAGUCCAAAACACACACACGCACACACACACACUAAAACACACUCUUUUACACAGAGUCAGACGGAAACCUCCCCAAUUUCUCUCUCACUGAAAACACACUGAAACUCAGUCAGCAUAAACCCCUCUCCCUCUCUCUCUCUUUUGUCCAUAUUUUCAUCAGUAUAUAAGUAAAACAAAAUAAAUAAGUAAAUAAGUAGAUGAGUUGACGAAUCGACAAUGCGGAAAUUCACUGGUUUCAAUGGCGGCGGUGGAUUGAGGAACGGCGGCGUUUCGUCGGAUCACAACCACCACGUAUCGAUUGGGAUUCGUUCUGGUGCUUUGCAUAAGCAGCAAUCCCGUUACGGUCACCAUCUUCACCACCGUCGGUUAAUAAAGGGUCGCAAGAUCUCCAUCGUCGGCGCCCUUAUUGUCUUUCUCUUCGUUGCCUUCGUCGCCUCUAUCUUCGCUUUCCUCUUCCUCUCUUCAAAAGAUAAAGACACACAUAGUAACUUAAUACAGGAUGAUGACUUCGUAAAUGAUACAGAUUUUCUUACAAAUGUUACACGUACAAAGAAACAUAAUACCGUAAAAUUUGGCCAUGGGUCGGUUACACAUGGUAAAGAUUCGCGUUAUUGGGAUGGUGAUGAUCGGAGACGAGAUGAAGAUUAUCAUGAGGAGGCUAGGGAUCAUUCUGUAAAUAAGGAUCAUGUUCCUGAGAAGGGUAAAAACAGUGGUAGGAAAUCGUCCAGUGAUGAAUCUCAUAAAGGCUUGGGUCAUAGAGGGAAUGGAUUAUAUAAUGAGGCAGGGCGUAAUGAAUUAAAAAUGUAUGAAGCUGAAUAUGAGGCAUCUUUGAAGAACAUUGGGCAGUCAAAAGAACAUGAUGGUGGAAAUCAGCUAUCUCAUGAUCGUACUAGUAGUGGAAAUGAGACUGAGAUGGUGGAUCCUGAUGAUGAGUAUGAUGAUGGUAUUGACUUACAGGAUGGUAGGAAGGAAGACGAUGGUGAAAUGGAACAGGAUGAUGGGGACCAUUCUGGUGCAACUGCAUCAUAUGAUCUAGAUGGUGGAGAGUCUGCUAAUUUACAUAAAGCCCAAACCAAGCAUCAAAAUAUUGUUCACGAGGUUGAUGAAGCUUCCACUGAUUUAUCUGACAAGGAGUCAGCUUCCAGCUCAGAACAUUCUGGCAAAGUUCCUGGUAAUUCAAGACAUGCACGUCCUAUUGAUAGUCAAUAUUCUAGAAGGUCUGCUACUGAAAAACGGUCUGGUUCCAAAAAGAAGUCAAAACGCCGUAAAUUUUCUGGUUCUUGCGAGAUGAAACUUCUAAACUCUACUGCACUGCUUGUAGAACCUUUAGAAAGCCGAAAAUUUGCAAGGUUUUCCUUGCAGUAUACAGAAGCAGAAGAAAAACCCGAUGAUGAUGAAGAGUGGCAACCUAGAUAUGCUGGGCAUCAGAGUCUAAGAGAAAGGGAAGAAUCUUUUAUUGCACAUGAUCAGAAAAUAAACUGUGGCUUUGUAAAAGGUUCUAGUGGAUAUCCUAGUACAGGAUUCGACCUGGCAGAAGAUGAUGCUAAAUAUAUAAGCAGUUGUCACAUUGCUGUGGUGUCUUGCAUUUUUGGAAAUUCAGAUCGGUUGAGAAUACCUGUUGGAAAAAUGGUCUCUCGUUUAUCCAGAAAAAAUGUUUGCUUUGUUAUGUUUGUUGAUGAAGCUACUUUACAAGCUCUUUCUUCGGAGGGCCAUAUGCUAGACAGAAUGGGCUUCAUUGGACUGUGGAAAGUUGUAGUAGUGAAGAAUCUGCCUUACACUGACAUGCGGAGAGUAGGAAAGGUUCCAAAAUUGUUGUCACACCGACUUUUUCCUUCAGCUAGGUAUUCAAUCUGGUUAGACAGCAAGCUACGUCUACAGCUUGAUCCACUGCUUAUCUUGGAAUAUUUCCUCUGGCGGAAAGGUCAUGAAUAUGCUAUUUCUAAUCACUAUGAUCGCCACUGUGUGUGGGAGGAAGUUGCUCAAAAUAAGAAGCUUAACAAGUACAAUCAUACUGUCAUAGAUGAACAAUUUCAAUUUUACCAAAAUGAUGGGCUAAAACGAUUUAAUGCAUCAGAUCCUAACAAACUUCUUCCUAGCAAUGUACCUGAAGGGUCCUUCAUUGUACGAGCUCACACACCUAUGUCAAACCUGUUUUCUUGUCUUUGGUUUAAUGAGGUUGAUCGAUUUACUCCUCGUGAUCAGCUGAGUUUCGCAUACACGUAUCAUAAGUUGAGGAGGACAAACCCAGAAAAACCAUUUUAUCUAAAUAUGUUUAAGGACUGUGAGAGGCGAAAGAUGGCCAAGUUGUUUCGUCACAGGUCAGAGGAGAGGAAAACCGUACAACAUGAUAUAGAGUAGUUCUGGAUGGAACUUUACCUGGGAAGGGUGAUUCAUUCUUUUGUAUGUUUACAUCAUUACAACUGGAUUCAUUGGUUCAAUUCUUCCGGCCCAUUUGUUGUAAAGUGAUGAUUAAUCAAUCUGCUCAAUUUGCUCCUGGUAGUCUGCCAAGUUGAUGUAUAAGAAUUGGAUGUUUGCACCUUGUGGACACGGCUCCAGGAAAGGCAGUAGUAUCUUCAUUUUUCCACUUCAAAGAACCAUUUAGUGUCCCGCACAGCCAGUACCUGAAUAUUAGCCAAAGACUCGCCUUGAGACAUACUUCUGGAAGCAACAUCAAUCUUGAGAAGGUUUCUAUUCAUCUCAUUAAUUGCAGAUGUGAGCAAAUUGCAAAGCUCCAAGAUGCGUAAACUCUUAUUCAUGUAUUCAUCCACCAACUUGCUUAUGCCAUUCCAUGUGCUCGUCGGUACUUGCAAGCUCUAAAGUAACAGAAGAAACUCAGCAUGCAUUUUCUUUAGCAGAAUCACAGCUUCUGUGCACCUUUCUGAAUGUCAUGCGCCAACGAAGCAAACAAUGGCGCAACAUUGUUCUUAGUGAUGGUGUACGGGCUAUCUUCAAGCUGAAAUGGAGCAAGACAGGUGAUGAAAUACGCCUUACCCAUUUGCUUUCUAUACUUAGCUAGAAACCCUUAACCAAAGAAUUAUAAUCUUAGAAAGACAACCGUGCCAUUUACAGAAGAUCAUUAGCAGCAUCUUCAAACAAAUAGCUUGGAGUUAUGGUUAAAGAAUUAUAUUAGGAUAUUGGAGGAAGCCAUUCGCUAGUGUUGAAGGAUCUCUACCUUGUUAUACAAUACUAUGAAAUCUAUUCCUAUUUGUGUAAAAGAAUGUUUGUAGCACAA